CACAUAAUUUCCUAUUUUCUAUUUUUUUAUUUUUAAUUGUUUUAUUUCUUUUAAUUCCAUUUCUCUUUAAAAAUUCAUAUCUCUCUCAUUAUUGGUCCAAAAAAUAUGAGACAAAUUUCAUUUUUCUCCAUUUAAUUUCUAGUUUCUAAAAAUGAUUUUUAAUAUUUUUUAUUUUAUCAUUUGAUAUUUUUUAGUAAUUUU
rnacentral:lncRNA from 1 species